UACGGAGGGUGCAAGCGUUAUCCGGAUUCACUGGGUUUAAAGGGUGCGUAGGUGGGCUGGUAAGUCAGUGGUGAAAUCUCCAGGCUUAACUUGGAAACUGCCAUUGAUACUAUCAGUCUUGAAUACCGUGGAGGUCAGCGGAAUAUGUCAUGUAGCGGUGAAAUGCUUAGAUAUGACAUAGAACACCAAUUGCGAAGGCGGCUGGCUACACGAAUAUUGACACUGAUGCACGAAAGCGUGGGGAUCAAACAGG
rnacentral:rRNA from 1 species